AAAAGCAGUUUUACUGAAUUUACUAAAACGAUACACUUACAAUCUACUUAAUACAUUUAUGUUUAAGAUGGAAACAUAAUUGUAUUGUUUAAAUUCUAAAUGAAAUUCAACAUAAUCAUCAAAACAUGAUAUAAUCACUUUGCAAGAAAAUGUUCAAAUUGUUUCAGAUUUCAAACAAAUGGUGUUCAUGUAAAAUAAUUUUUUCUGCUGUUUGAUUUAUUUAAUUAAAAUAGGCCCAUGUCACACAAUUACUUUGUAUUUUCUUCUCAACUUAAUUCCAUUGUGUAGGCUAUAAUUAAUCUAAUUCAGGUUUGUGAAAUACGUCGUUUGCGCGGGAACAACGCGUGCGAGAGCGUCUCCGCAUGCGCUUUGAAAUCCAGACCACACCAGGACCGUUGGUUUGGAAAGGACACAUGAGGGCACUGACUGUCUUUUUUCAAAGCUCGUUAAAAGUGAAAUUUGCUGUACAUUUGGAAUUCCAAAGCCUGUUCAGACAAAUUACGAGCGAAGUCAGUCCCCAACAAAGGCAGUUAGCCUUGUAGAAGUCGGUGAAUUAACUGAUGAAUACCCCUUGGCUGACUAUUUGAUUGGACAUGUGCAGAUGGUUACGUUAAAGAGAUUUGUCUGCUGCAAAGGAUGACAUUGAUGCAGCUUGUGAACUUGCCAUCAGAGGACUGUCUAUCUAUCUUAAUGAGGACUCUAAAGAUCUCAUUCAGGAGUAUGCGGACAUGGAAGAAGAUCUUUUACAGUGUGCCAUUGAGAAGACUACCAUGGGCAUCUUCCUGAUAAAGCACACUGCAGACAAUGAAGCCCAUGAUGUAGGCAUUGUGCUAGAGGGUGUAGCAGUGUUUCAGGACCUUGACAGUGUGGAUUUUGGCAACUUCAAUGUUUUUGGUCUAAUUUAUGCUCUUAACCUGCAGUACCCCACAAAGUUGCGUUUUACAUAUGAAAUUUAGCAAAAACUCAUCAUGGACUUGGAUGCAGGUGAACUCUCUAUCAAGGCCCAAUUUCAAAUCUGAACUCCACCAGUGAGAUGGACUGAUUUUUGAAUGACUACUGAGACUACAAACAAUCAACCUCGGAAAAUUUCAGCAGCCUUCAUGCAAGACCACCGCAGAGGGUAAACCGUGAUCUUGUUGUUUAGACUGUUCCCCUUUGCCUGCUCUGGUUUCUUUAUCUUUUUUUUUUGUCUGAAUUUGGCCCUUCUUUGGACUGGUUCAGAAGUUGAUUGAUUAGAGAGCUGAAUCUAUGACACAUGGUUGAACUAGCAUAAAUAAGAUACAUUGUUUAUAGUUUAGGUAAGGGUCAGAUACUGUAUUUUCACAUUGUUUUGUAAUGUCUAUAUAUAAUUAUCUUUGAAACGAAAGAGUUUUUCUUGAAAUAACAGUUCCAGGUAGGGCUGCACGAUAUUGGGAAAAAAUGACAUUGCGAUAUUUUAUUUUUCUGCGAUAUAUAUUGCGAUAUGAAAUCUAAUCUAUUUUUUUC